CGUCGAAUAUUCUCACUGUCCUGAUUUUGUAAUAAUCAGAGCAAGCUAGGCAUUUGCUAUAUUAAGAUCAUGCAUGUGUCCCCAGACUUAGUACUUUCCCUAGGCCUGAUUUUAUCAAAGCUGGUGACAGAC
rnacentral:snoRNA from 1 species